CUUUGCCAGGCUUCUGGCUUUUUUACCAGGGGAACUCAGUGAGACAAACAAACAGUCUCAUCUCAGACUAUGAUGUGAUCGGCCCGACCUUAAUUACCGCUGAGCACCUCUAAGCACCUCCAGACUGAGAGAAGCCAAAUGAGGUAGUAAGCAUGGCUCCCCGCCGUCUCCCUUCCACUGCACUGUGGAUGCAAUUGAGUAGGAGGGGAUCCCAGGGCAGACGAGGAGACGCUGGAGAAAGGACAUCUCGCAGCUGACCUGGAAGUACCUGGAUGUCCCCCAGGAGGCAGCUGAAGGACGUCGCCGUGCAGAACGAUGUCUGGACUGCUCUGAUUUCCCUGUUGCUGCUGCAGCGCUGACUUGCAUACGCAGCUCAGUUUCUAUGGGAGCAGCCAGCCCUGGGAGCCUUGAAGUCGGCGAGAAGAAGAAGAAGAAGGAAGUAAUGGCAGGUGCGCGGAAGGAGAGUGGGGGGUGCACGACGGGCCCUGAGGUUGGGCUGAGAGGUGAGGGACAGACACUGGAGUGUGUGACAAAAGGAUGAGCUUCACUGCUAAUGACUUCCACAGGGGAGACCAGCUGCUCAGCCUGCGACGGCUUCGUGCAUGCGCCGUCGCCGCCACGCAGGAUUUACUCGGCAGUGAGAUGGAGCAUGCACACGGAAGCACAAACUCUACAACUUUUGCACACACUAAAAAAAAAAAAAAAGAUUUCUCCUCCCGUUUCUUCUCUCCACCCUCACCCACUCACCCUCCUCUCACCUUUAUAAAUUCAUCUAGAUUUCUGACCAAAUAAAUAAAAAAUUCCUCCGUCUGA